AACCAACUCGAAUGAAAAAUCUCCACGGCCAUUGCGCAGCUUAAAAGUAAAAGAAGCGUUUCCUUCACCACCGCCGCCUCCGUCGCCGUCGCCGCGCUUGGACCGGCCGUGGCGGGUGACGCGCCUCGCCUGGCCGCCCCACCGCUGGUCCGCCCCCACUGGCCGUGGCUUCCGGUGCAGCUUCGGCGCCUCCACCGACGGUGGCGGCGAUUACGCCCGAUUAAGAACGCGCCCUACGGGUCCCAGUAUUUCUCGCCUGCCUUCCAUGAAGACGAUUUUUCACUUUUAGGUAUCUUGAAUGGGUCCCGUGGUAGGGAGUAUUCUUCCAUCUCUUGGCCGUGUAAGGCUCGCUGAUCUUGUAGCCUCUGAAGGUCUUCCUCCAGACUCUUACAAGAUCUCUGUAUCAACACUAACACAAUCCUUUGCUCAGUAUUCUGCUGCUAUCAUUGAGUUAUCUCCUGGAGACAGUGCUCUUUUAAGAUCUGGUCUAGAAUCUGCUCGUUUGUUUUUUCAUCAGCGUGCGUACCCUCCUGCUGAUAUGGUUCAUACAAAUGAAACCCGUGAGUGGUGCAAGACAUCUGGAUAUUAUGCGGAUCCUCAACUGUGGCAAGAAACAUAUGAUUACAGGCCUGGUCUUACUGCAGCAGAGCCUCAUGGUUCAAUGGAAUUUCCUCCAGCUGGCUUGCCUGACAUAUUUGCAGUUCUUGGCAAGGCUGCCCGAGAUGUAUUGGAUGCUAUCAGCUUUUCUUUAAAUUUGCGCAGCUUUUCAUUUGCUGAAAUACUUGAUAACAUGCCUUUGAGAAGUAGGGAGAUAUCCUCCUCAGUUCUUUCAGUAUGCUGUCAUUCAAGACCAUCAUUCCAAGGAGCACAAAACCACAAUUUGACAGCACAGGAAGAUGGACAGCUGGUCAUGUUCCCAGAUCAUGAGCAUCAAGUUGAUAAGGCCUUAAUUACUCUUGUCAAGUCAGAUAUGGCAGGAUUGCAUAUAAAAGACUUCCAUGGACGUUGGAUCCUUGUUGAUGGAGAUCUUGGCCCUCAAGAUGCAAUUAUUUAUCCUGGACUUGCACUUUACCAGGCAACUGCUGGUUAUGUGAGCCCUGCCAUGCUUAGGGUAGAGAUGGGCAAUUUGCAAAGUAACAUGUAUGGAAGAUGCUCUUUGGCUUUCAAGCUCAUGCCUAGAUCCAUGGCAAGUCUUAGCUGUUCAGAGAUGAGAGCAGCUGGUCAUGGAGUUGAAGCACAAUUCCAGAUUCCUAUACCAGUGGAUGACUUUAUGCAGAGGUCACACUCUACUGAUCAAUUCGCUAAACUUAAUUAUCCCAGCUACGCGUUUCAACCUGGCCAAGAUGAUUUUUAUGUAGCAUCCAUGAAGCCUCAUAUAAAGAGUAAGAAGGACAAGACGAGGUGCAAGCCUUUGCCUCCUUCUAAGAAACUACGUCUGGAGGCUCAGAGGGUCCUCAAGGAGCGUGUUCAAGAUAUUGCUGAAAAGAAGGGCAUAAAACUCAGGUUUUGUAAUCUUAAGGAGUGUGAGGGCCACAUGCUAUCAAUGGAUAGCCCAUGUGGGAAUAUAAGAAUGGAGAUUGGAUGGCCUCCUGGUGUUCCAUUUGUUCAUCCACAUGACCUUCCUAACAAGGCGAAGCUUGGCUUCCUUGAAGCUUAUGAACCUGGUUGGGCAGCUUCUCAGCAAGACAUGGAGUUAAGUUUAUUGAACCUGGACAUGCCAGAUAUUGGUUAAAUAACCUUGCACUCACAAUUCUUUUUUUUUAAUCUCUACAAGCACAUUGAUAGAUUCCUAAAUACGUGCAUAUCGAGUUCCUUGAAAAGAGAAUGUCAAAGGAGUCAGUCUUCAUAACUUCUGAUAUUUAGGCAUCCUUUAUUGGCCUUGUGACUUCACAAACUCUGCCAAGAGUUCAACUCCUGCAGUCAUUGGCCCAAAUGUGCAAUGACCUAUCAGCAUGUAUGUCUCUCCGAAUCCGUGAGAUUAAAGUGUAGAGCUGAUUUAAUUUACCAACAGCGACCUCGAAUACAAUGCAUCAGUUGCGAAGAAUAUAAAGCUGGCAUUCUUCUCUUUACAUGAUCGGUAUUGUUGUAUAUUCCAACCUCUGGCUAACCCUGCCUGCAUGAAACCAUAGAUCAGCUUUCCAGUCAAAGUCUAUGCUCAGUUUAGAAGAUGUGAAAGAGCAGACGCAAAAGAGGUGAAAGAGCAGAUCAUGUCUUACUUUUGCAGAUCUUUUAUAGUGCGGUGCCGUGAAAAAAAUAAGGUAAAUGAGAUUGAGCAGAUACAGAAGGUGAAAUUACCAUACUUAGUACAUUGUGGUGAUGAAAAUAAAUCAGAGUGGCAGGCUGCAAAAUAUCGCCUCCCAAAUCAUGGCAGCCCAAUUCAGGCUUUUUAAAACAAAGCUCUGCUCCAUUUGAUCUAAGCUUGCCAUAUCAAAUUUGUAAGGCCUGAUAAUGAUCUCCAGAUGCUGGUGUCCUUCACUAAUAUCUACUAUGAUUAUAAUUGUAUUUGAGUGUGAUAUUAUGAUUGUAUCUUUGCACCUAGUUGAUCAGGAGAUUCAGGACUGUGAGUCACAAAAGUAUGUUGCAGUGAUCCUCUUAAGACCCUGCACAUGCAAUGGGUUCUCCAUUGAUGUUGUGUACAAGGUCUUGCUUCAAAAUGGAUAUUCUUGUUCCAAGCCUAAAUCAUUCAACACACAACUCCAAAAUGUAUAUUUGUCUUUGAAAUAUUAUUGGCAUGCCUGAA